CCUACGGGAGGCAGCAGUGAGGAAUAUUGGACAAUGGACGCAAGUCUGAAGCAGCCAUGCCGCGUGCAGGAAGACGGCUCUAUGAGUGGUAAACUGCGUUUGUAGGAGGGUAAAUCCCGAUACGUGUAUCGGGUUGAAAGUAUCGUACGAAUAAGGAUGGGCUAACUCCGUGCCAGCAGCCGCGGGAAUACGGAGGAUUCAAGCGUUAUGCGGGUUUAUUGGGUGUAAAGGGUGCGUAGUCGGGUCGAUAAGUGAGAGGUGAGAUCCCGGGGCUCAACUCCGGCACUGCCUCUGAUACUGUCGGGCUAGAGUUUAGUUGCGGUAGGCGGAAUGUCUGGUGUAGCGGUGAAAUGCGUAG
rnacentral:rRNA from 1 species